rnacentral:rRNA from 1 species
AGUGAACGCUGGCGGUAGGCCUAACACAUGCAAGUCGAACGGCAGCACAGUAAGAGCUUGCUCUUACGGGUGGCGAGUGGCGGACGUGUGAGGAAUACAUCGGAAUCUACUUUUUCGUGGGGGAUAACGUAGGGAAACUUACGCUAAUACCGCAUACGACCUACGGGUGAAAGCAGGGGAUCUUCGGACCUUGCGCGAUUGAAUGAGCCGAUGUCGGGUUAGCUAGUUGGCGGGGUAAAGGCCCACCAAGGCGACGAUCCGUAGCUGGUCUGAGAGGAUGAUCGGCCACACUGGAACGGAGACACGGUCCAGACUCCUACGGGAGGCAGCAGUGGGGAAUGUUGGACAAUGGGCGCAAGCCUGACCCAGCCAUACCGCGUGGGUGAAGAAGGCCUUCGGGUUGUAAAGCCCUUUUGUUGGGAAAGAAACGCAGCAGGUUAAUACCCCGCUGUUCUGACGGUACCCAAAGAAUAAGCACCGGCUAACUUCGUG